rnacentral:tRNA from 1 species
CCUCUCGUAGUUUAAUGGUCAGAACAUAAAGCGUAAAGCCAAAGGUCCCGGGUUCGAUUCCCGGCGGGAGUG